rnacentral:rRNA from 1 species
GGAGGNGCUGGGGUUGUCGCUGACUUUUGAAAUGGUCGUGCACGCCUNGGUACUCUCACAUACAAUCCAUCUCACCCCUCUUGUGCAUCACCGCGUGGAGGCCCCUUUUGGCUAGUUCUAAANGGGGUUUUCACGUUUUUAUACAUACACNAUUUUAAUGCAAUGCGUAGAAUGUCAUACUUUUGCGAUCACACGCAAUUAAUACAACUUUCAACAACGGAUCUCUUGGCUCUCGCAUCGAUGAAGAACGCAGCGAAAUGCGAUACGUAAUGUGAAUUGCAGAAUUCAGUGAAUCAUCGAAUCUUUGAACGCACCUUGCGCCCUUUGGUAUUCCGAAGGGCACACCCGUUUGAGUGUCGUGGACAUCYUCAAACCUUCUUGGUUUCUCRACCAGGAAGGCUUUGGACUCUGGAGGUUCUUGCUGGCCUUACUUUGUUGAAGCCAGCUCCUCUAAAAUGAAUUAGUGGGAUCUGCCUUGCGGAUACUUGACGUGAUAAGAUAUUUCUACGUCUUGGAUCUYGCACUGUUCGCUCUGGAUCCUGCUUCUAACCGUCUCAUAGAAGACAAUGGGUUAAGUGAUGCCACUGGCCC